UUUAAAUAGCUGCAGUAUUUUAACUGUACAAAGGUAGCAUAAUAAUUAGUCUUUUAAUUGAGGUCUAGAAUGAAUGGUUUAACAAAAAAUAAUUUUUAUUAAUUUAAAAAUAAUUUAAUUUUAUUUUUAGUUAAAAAGCUAAAAUUUAUAAUUGGGACGAUAAGACCCUAUAGAUCUUUAAUUUUUUAAGUUAAUUUUUUUUUUAGUAAUUUUUUAUAUUUAAAUUUUUAAAAUUUUAGUUGGGGUGACUAUAAAAAAUUUAAAACUUUUAUUAAUAUCAUCAUAAGUUAAUGUUUAUUAUAUCCUUACUUUUAGAAUUAAGAAUAAGAUACCUUAGGGAUAACAGCGUAAUAUAAUUGGAUAGUACAUAUUGAUAAUUUUGUUUACGACCUCGAUGUUGAAUUAAUAAAAUUUUUAAAGUAAAAAUUAAAAUUAUUUGGGUCUGUUCGACCUUUAAAAAUUUACG
rnacentral:rRNA from 1 species